UUCGCAAUGCCCGAAAGGGUGACGAAGCGACGCCGCGUGGGUGAGGAAGGCCUUCGGGUUGUAAAGCCCUGUCAGGAGUUAAGAAAUAUAGGUACGCUAAUAUCGUAUCUAUUUGACAAAGGCUCCAAAGGAAGCCACGGCUAACUCUGUGCCAGCAGCCGCGGUAAUACAGAGGUGGCAAGCGUUGUUCGGAAUUAUUGGGCGUAAAGAGCACGUAGGUGGAUUUGUAAGUCAGAUGUGAAAGCCUUCUGUUCAACGGAAGAAUUGCAUCUGAAACUACAAACCUUGAGUAUAGGAGGGGAGAAUGGAACUUCUGGUGGAGCGGUGAAAUGCGUAGAUAUCAGAAGGAACGCCGGCGGCGAAAGCGAUUCUCUGGCCUAUUACUGACACUCAGUGUGCGAAAGCUAGGGGAGCAAACGGGAUUAGAUACCCCGGUAGUCCUAGCCGUAAACGAUGGGCACUAAGUAGA
rnacentral:rRNA from 1 species